rnacentral:tRNA from 1 species
CUUUAAGUGGCUGAGCAAAGCAAUGGCCUCUUAAGCCAUAUUACAGUACAAAAUACUCUUAAAGA